GACGAACGCUGGCGGCGUGCCUAAUACAUGCAAGUAGAACGCACAGUUUAUACCGUAGCUUGCUACACCAUAGACUGUGAGUUGCGAACGGGUGAGUAACGCGUAGGUAACCUGCCUGGUAGCGGGGGAUAACUAUUGGAAACGAUAGCUAAUACCGCAUAAUAUUAAUUAUUGCAUGAUAAUUAAUUGAAAGGUGCAAUUGCACCACUACCAGAUGGACCUGCGUUGUAUUAGCUAGUAGGUGAGGUAACGGCUCACCUAGGCGACGAUACAUAGCCGACCUGGUAGGGUGAUCGGCCACACUGGGACUGAGACACGGCCCAGACUCCUACGGGAGGCAGCAGUAGGGAAUCUUCGGCAAUGGACGAAAGUCUGACCGAGCAACGCCGCGUGAGUGAAGAAGGGUUUCGGAUCGUAAAGCUCUGUUGUAAGAGAAGAACGGGUGUGAGAGUGGAAAGUUCACACUGUGACGGUAUCUUACCAGAAAGGGACGGCUAACUACGUG
rnacentral:rRNA from 1 species